UCGAAUGACUCAUUGAAUUCCUAACCAAUUCAUUUCAGAAAGCAUACAUUCAUGUUCCUUAUCUCGGUGCUAUUCAUUUCUCAGCCACAAAAUGAUGCCAUUGAGAGAGAGCUCUAUAAGCUCAUGACUAUGCAAAUUAGAGUAUUUGUUGUUUACAUGACACCCCGUCUUGUCUCUCUCUCGUCUCUUUGCCAUUCGCAAAGACCUCGAGAUGAUGGAUGAAGAUGAUCUUAGUUUUUUAAAAAAUAAUGUGCUAAUUUAAAUGAAUAAUUUUAAAUUAUGUAAUAUAUUUAGUCGUUUAUUAACCAUUUAGUUAAAAUCGCCCUGUAGUUUAGUCGCGGCUCCUCGUCGAGGAUUCCUGAACCUGUUGCAGAAACAGAAGAUCUGUAGAUGGUGAGAACGUCGUCCUCACAUGUUCUCAGUAGGAAUAGUGAAUGCCGUAAAAAUACAGAAUAAAUACAAAUAGUUAACUCAUAUCCCAAACACAAUUUUCUUUAUUAAACCCUUAAAAUUCUUCCUAAGUCUUACUAAGUCUUACUUUAAGCUGUUUAAACCUUUCUUUAAACCACAUUAGUAAGUUUGCCGCAUAACAAAAUAACCAAUUAAGCAUACAAGCAAGACACCAAGGCAAACAGCACAAGCAAACAACACAAUCACAGGAAAAUAAAAUAAACAACCACAGUCAAAUGCAAGUGUGCAAACAAUUCAUGAUGUAUGCCUGUUCCUAGCGCAGACCAUCAGCUCAUGCGUUGGUUGUCUACUCGCAACCCGAUGUUACUCGGAGUGAACCCCGAAUAUGGUUCCUUUACUGUGUCAGUUAGACACCUUGGCAUUACGGUUACCCGUGUCAGUUAGGCAUCAUCAUAAUAGCAUUUUAAUGUGCAUCACAGUAAGUAAUAGUGCUAUCAAUUAGAUGAACAUUCUCGCAUUAGCAAUCUCAAGCUAUCAGUUAGACGGGCACUUUCGCAUUAGUAGUUUAGCGCAAGGCCCGUUUAACAUAUAAUUCUCAAUUAUUUAUUUCAUUCUUUACUUCCCUUUUCUUUUCAUCUAAGUAUCCUUUCCAAUCUUUAAUUCCCACUUUCUUUUCUUUCCAUUAUGCCUCCAUUUCACCUUAUAUCUAAGCAUACCUCCGCAUCACCAAGAAACUUAAAAGUACCUCCGCAUCACUGUGAAACUAGGCGUACCUCCGCAUCACCGCUUAGCUUUAAACGUGUCCUAGGAAUAACCUACACACCUUUGUUUAACUAAGCUCUUACAUUCUGCCAAAUUUGGACAUAUCCUUUGGGUCUAAAUCAAGUUUUACCACGUUUGGAUUAGAAUUGAAUCCGAUAGCCAACUUAAUAAAAUCUGCUGCCGCACUAAAGAGAAUUCAGAAAAAAUAUAGCAAGCAGCUCGGUUUUUGAUAAAUCUAUAAUAAAUUCAAUUCUAAUCCAUUACUUCUAAAUUUUGGUGAGGAUACACUCGACACCCCUAAGUUUUAGAACAAACAAUUUUCAGAUUCUUAGCGCCUUGUUUGGUUAAUUAAAUAUCAAUUGGAAGUACUGCCCUGUUUCUUUAAUUUGGUUCUGAAGUUCCUGAGAACAGCCCAGCUUCCAAGAGACAUAACUAACUCUACAAAAUAGCUAUGGACAUGAAAUUUGUACUCACUUAAAAUAGGCUUUCAGAUCUUAAAAAUCCAUUUGGAAGCAACUCAAAAUUCCAAAUAAAACAAAAGUUAUAGCGGCUAAAAGUUGGUACUGCAAAAUCAGAAAACCAGAAAAUUCUACGGCAACCACUAAACUUCAAAAAUUCAUAUCUUCCAAACCGCUUGGCCAAAUUCUCUGAAAAUUUUAUGGAGAAAUCUUGACUUGAAAUUUAUAGAAAAAUGGAUUGGUUCGAAAAUCAUGUCUAGAUUGCUCCCAGAUUUUAUUUUGAGUUGCUGCCAAUUAUGCAGAAAAUUCUGCAUUAAGUAAUUUAACAACCCUUCAUACCAAACUAUAUAUUCAAGCCUAAAAUUCCUCUAAAACCACAAUUCCGACUUUCUUUUGACUAAUCAAAGUUGCAAAAGUGUUUAGCACAGCCCCAGGAGUUCAGACUCUUCCAUUCACCCCUUUUCACAAGUGCACAUAUACUUAAUUGAACAUGUACUUAGUCAUAAUCAAAUUCUCACUUUUCUGCACUAUGUCAACCAUAACUUUUCAUUUAUACAUCAUCAUUCAAACAUAUAAUAAGUCUUUAUUCCUCAUCAAUCAAGCAUAUGAUAAAUUAUUAAUUCUCAUCAGCAAGCACAGCCACAAAAAUAACAAUCUAUCUGUCCUAUUCCUUACUUCCACAAUUUCAAUUUAGCAAGCAACACUAAAAUUAUCAACAUUCACAAUCAUCAAUUCAAUCAUAGUAGCGAAUCGUUCACAACCAAAAUUCGAACUCAAUAACAGUAUAAUUAUUAACAUAUUUGCAAUUAUCUACUAUACUUUUGAGUAUUCUUAAAUCGAAAAUUCUUAAUUUUAAAAUAAAAUCCCCUACCGUAAAUCGACUCAGCCACGCGAUUUGGACCAGCAGCGAUAACCCAUCUGCGGCAAUGACAGCAGCAUUCAUUUCUUAUUGCAACGUCAAUGACCACAGCACCCGGAGGAAAUAUUGGAUCUAAAUUGAAUGAAAGACAACAAGAAAUAGUGCUGGAAAAAUCCAAGGUAAAGCAGAGGCUCAAUAAAGUCAGAAUGGUAGAAUACCGAAGUGAAGCAGAUCCAAGGAAAAAGAGCGAACCAGAAUAGUUCCAAGUUAGUGCCACCGGUGGUUCUAGUAUUGUUUCUUCGGUGAGGAAAAAGGCAGGACAUGGCUAAGCAAGGGAGUUACAGUGACCCCAAACAGCUUCAACAACAAGGACGAUAGUUUGGUUCACCACCAUCAGCGACGCACAGCUCAACAGCAGACUCCACCUGCGGCAAUGGCGGUAGCAACGGCGACGUCAAUGGCUCCGGCGGCUGACCGUAGCAACAGCAGCAGUGCUACCCUCCUUCCCAUCAUUCUCUCUUCUUCGUCAUUAUUCCUCUUCUUCUUUGCCCUAAUCGGCGUCGACGGCAGCAAGGUGUGGCGGUGACGAUGCGAGACAACGCCCCUUCCUCUUCUCCUCGAUCGCGCCUUCUCUCUCGAUCUUUGCUUCUCUUCUGCUCGAUCGCCCCUUCCCUCUCUCUGUUUCUCUCUCUCGACGGCGACGGCGGCCCCUAGCCCUGCCUACGCUGUCCGCUCCCUCCUCUCCCUCUCGCGUUCUUUUGAUUCCCCACUCUCCAUCUCUGAUUUCUGGCUGUUUCUUUUCUGAUUUCUGAUUUCUUCUUUUUCUGCUGUGUCGGAUGGUGUGAGGGGUGAGUGAGGAGGGUGUUACCGUGUUUAUGGUGAGGUUGAGGGAAAGACAAGUAAGGAUAUACGUGUAAGGGAGUGGUGUAUGUAAAACUAAGGGAAGAUGUUCACAUG
rnacentral:lncRNA from 1 species